rnacentral:sRNA from 1 species
UUGACAGCCCUGGAGACUUAAGUUUUCUUUUCAUCUACAGAGCAGACACAGGGUAAGUAGCUGUACUACAAACUCUUUCUCACCACCACCCACUUGGAGAGACUAUUGUGAAAGAUAAAAGACGACUUCUCGAGUUUUAUGGGAUGAUGCCUACAGCCUUGAGUCAUCUAUGGCCUCCUCUGCAGGGCUGAU